AUUCUUGACGUCACAAUUUUUCUAGCUUCAAGAAACUUAGCUUUUAGGGGAUCCAAUCAAAAGUUGUUCAAAAAUGGGAAUGGAAACUUCCUUGGAGCGCUCGAAUUAAUUGCUCGCCACAACAAAACAUUACAAGAUCAUAUGCAUCUUAUUGCUAAGCACCAA
rnacentral:lncRNA from 1 species